CAGGAAAAAGGUUUCUCACCAGUGUGGGUUCUUGUGUGAUUUUUUUUAAGUUUCCCUUCUGAGAGAAUCUUUGGCCACAAUCUGAACAGGCAAAAGGUUUCUCACCAGAGUGCGUUCUGGUGCGUAUUUUUAAGGUUCUCUUUUCAGAGAAUUUUUGGCCACAAACUGAGCAG